rnacentral:misc_RNA from 1 species
GUGUGGCAUGACAAUCAACCUGUGCUCUACUGUGAUAAUUUUCGUGUUAUUUUUCAACAAUUGGUAACCAAAUCUCUCCUGUGAAGAGUGUUGUAGUUCUGAAUAUAUGAUUGGUAAUUUUUGACACAAUCCUGCUAAAUUUCUUUAUAAACAAGUGCAAUUUAUCUUUUGCAUAAGUUGAUGUUUAAUGUUUGGAAGUCAUUCUUAGCAUGAAACCUCUAUUUACCUGUAAUCAUUGAAGUUUUAUAUGAAAG